CGACUAGCUCAUUGGUUAGAGCACGGGACCUUUAAUCUCGCGGUAGUGGGUUCGACUCCCACGUCGA
rnacentral:tRNA from 1 species